rnacentral:rRNA from 1 species
UGAGUAACACGUGGGCAAUCUGCCCUGCACUUCGGGAUAAGCCUGGGAAACUGGGUCUAAUACCGGAUAGGACCUUUAGGCGCAUGCCUUUUGGUGGAAAGCUUUUGCGGUGUGGGAUGGGCCCGCGGCCUAUCAGCUUGUUGGUGGGGUGAUGGCCUACCAAGGCGACGACGGGUAGCCGGCCUGAGAGGGUGUCCGGCCACACUGGGACUGAGAUACGGCCCAGACUCCUACGGGAGGCAGCAGUGGGGAAUAUUGCACAAUGGGCGCAAGCCUGAUGCAGCGACGCCGCGUGGGGGAUGACGGCCUUCGGGUUGUAAACCUCUUUCACCAUCGACGAAGGUCCGGGUUUUCUCGGAUUGACGGUAGGUGGAGAAGAAGCACCGGCCAACUACGUGCCAGCAGCCGCGGUAAUACGUAGGGUGCGAGCGUUGUCCGGAAUUACUGGGCGUAAAGAGCUCGUAGGUGGUUUGUCGCGUUGUUCGUGAAAUCUCACGGCUUAACUGUGAGCGUGCGGGCGAUACGGGCAGACUAGAGUACUGCAGGGGAGACUGGAAUUCCUGGUGUAGCGGUGGAAUGCGCAGAUAUCAGGAGGAACACCGGUGGCGAAGGCGGGUCUCUGGGCAGUAACUGACGCUGAGGAGCGAAAGCGUGGGGAGCGAACAGGAUUAGAUACCCUGGUAGUCCACGCCGUAAACGGUGGGUACUAGGUGUGGGUUUCCUUCCUUGGGAUCCGUGCCGUAGCUAACGCAUUAAGUACCCCGCCUGGGGGAGUACGGGCCGCAAGGCUAAAACUCAAAAGGAAUUGACGGGGGGCCCGCACAA